rnacentral:rRNA from 1 species
UACGGAGGUGGCAAGCGUUGUUCGGAAUUACUGGGCGUAAAGGGCGCGUAGGCGGCUAGGCAAGUCAGGUGUGAAAGCCCCGAGCUUAACUCGGGAACUGCAUCUGAAACUGCUGGGCUUGAGUUCUGGAGGGGGUAGUGGAAUUCCCAGUGUAGCGGUGAAAUGCGUAGAUAUCAGGAGGAACACCUGUGGCGAAAAGCGGCUCACUGGACCAUAACUGACGCUGAUGCACGAAAAGCUAGGGGAGCAAACAGG